CUAAGGCCUGGGGCCUAUGGGGCCCCUCAUUCUGUCUCUCUCCGCUCCUCUGCCGCCUUCUCUAAUGCCACAGGCACUGCCCCUACCGGGUGAACCGUCACUGUAUCCCGGCCAAGAGCUGAUGGGCAGCUUGUGUAGUGCUCCCAGGCACUGCUGGCGCCCCGCCGAACCAACUCUGCACUCCCUAUGCCACAGCACCCCUCUUGCCACACCUCUGCUCACGCGUUACCCUUGUCUGGAACGUCCUCCCUCCUCAUCUCUUCAAGCCCUCUCUUCCGUGAAGGCAGGGGCCCCUAACCUUUUGUGAACCAGAGACCUCUCUGGCAGUCUGCUGAGCUAUGGGCUCCUUGUAAGUGUGUGAAGUCACUGACAGGAGUACAGAGGAAACCGUUCAGAAUUGAAAUACACUUCUAAAAUCUUUAAAGACACCAGUUGUUAUACAGCAGCAUUUGUGCUUCUGGCAGCAGGUCUGGUCGCCCCUACGAACUGGAGCGGUGACGCACCUAAAGGCCAAGCAACCCGCAACACCGUGAGGGGACAAGAGAACGUCUGGGAUCUGUACUGCCAUCGAGCCACAGGUGCCACCGCCCACAUUCACGGCCGAGGGAGGUGCUGAAGAGCCGUCAGAGAAUGAAGACAGGUGGUGGUGAGUCACACUGGCCCAUCCAGACGAAGGUGGUUUAGAAGUGAUGACAGAGCAACCAGAUGGAGGAAGCCUGAGUCCCUGACCCAGGGGAGCCACCGCAACACCCUAGACUGCUUAUACUCAGACUCUUUGUGUAACGACGACAACCCCGAUCUACCUCACGUGGGCACAAGCCACUUCUGCUUCCACGGAGGACUGAGAAGUCACCAGAUGACAUGACAAGAAUUGUGCCAUUUGGAUCAAGCCUUGGCAAAGCUCAACUCAGUAGCCUCGACAAUCACAAACGCCAUUAUCGGACACCCACAUACUUUAUCUCCAUCGCUCCUCACAAAAGCCUGAGCACAUGAGUGGUACUGAGGAAACAGUCUGGAAGAGGCCAACCUACUCCCCUCUCCAGCUCUCUCCCACCUUUAGUCCCACUUUCAUGCUUCCUUCCAGAUCAGAGAAACAGCUGGUUCCUUAACUGGACCAUACUGUCCCCGCCAAGCUAGGCCACUGAACUACAGCAGACCUCCCCAUGGCUGUACAGAUUCUUGCCACAGCACAGGCAUCGUCCCUGGGAAUGGCUGAACCAUCAGCUCUGCCCAAAAAUAUAUUCCUAUGUUUAGUUUCCAAUAAUGGCUGAGUAGUUUCAAUCAAACUAACCCUCCUACAGAUAACUAUUAUAAACUAUGGAAAAAUACAAGAAAUAAUUGUUAAGCACUGAAGAAUGAUCAAAAGCCAGCAGAAAAUAGAGGGGUUACAACCUCUGAAGGAAGGAAAGAGAACGAAGUGAGAUCUGACAUUUAACCAAUUUUUUACCGAGGUAACUUCCUAGUCCUAUAAGUUAUAAGGACUUGGUAAACACCCCAGGCUUUCCACGGGAAACCCAGAAGGGCUGGCUUUGAGAGGAAGGGUAUCAUCUCAGGACUGAGGGUUACACCGGAAGAUUGAGGGAAAAACUCAAAGUGAACUAUCUUAACAAAAUUUAAACAUGGUAAGUAAUCCUUGCCCUUGUCCCCCCAAAAAGAUUAGCUGUCCAUAAUUUAAUUGCCUAUUAAAAUAAAAUUCAACACUCUUCAGAGGAAGGUAACAGAAUCCAAGAAUCUCUACAACUUAUUACAGGCACAGCUCAUUUUACCAUGCUUCACUUCAUUGUACUUUGCAGAUAACUGUUUCUCACAAAUUGAAGGUCUGUGGGAACUCUGUGUAGAGCAAGUCUGUUGGGGCCAUUUUUCCAACAGCAUUUGCUCACUUUGUGUCUUUGUGUCACAUUUUGAUAAUUCUCAUAUUUCAAAAUUUUCAUUAUUAUUAUUUUUUAUGGUGAUCUUUGGUGUUACUAUUAUUAUUGUUUUGGAGUGCCAUGAACCGCACCCAUAUAAGACAGUGAACUGAUAAAUGUUGUGUGUAUUCUGACUAUUCCGCCAACUGGCCAUUCUCCCAUCUCUCCCUCUGCUCAGGCCUCCCUAUUCCCUGAGACACAGCAAUAUGGAAAUCAGGCCAAUUAAUAACCCAAAAUGGCCUCUAACUGUUCAUGUGAAAGGAAGAGUUACACAUCUCUCACUUUAAAUCAAAAACUAGAAAUGACGAAGCUUAGUGAGGAAGGAUGUCGAAAGCUAAGAUAGGCUGAAAGGUAGACCUCUUGCACCACAUGGUUAGCCAAGUUGUGAACACAAAGGAAAAGUUCUUGAAGGAAAUUAAAUGUGCUGCUCCCCUGAACACCUGGGCAAUAAGAAAAUGAAACAGGCUUACUGCUGAUAUGGAGAAAGCAUUGUGGUUUCUGAAUAGGAGAUCAAACCAGCCACAAUAUUCCCUUAAGCCAUAGCCUAGUCCAGAGCAAGGCCCUGACUCUCUUCAAUUCCAUGAAGGCUGAGAGGUGAGGAAGCUGCAGAAGAAGAGUCUGAAGCCAGCAGAGGUGGGCUCAUGAGGUUUACGGGAAGAAGCCGUCUCCAUAACAUCAAAGGGCAAGGUGAAGCAGUGAGUGCUGACAUAGAAGCCACAGCAAGUGAGCCAGAAGAUGGAGCUAAGAUAACUAAUGAAGGUGGCUGCCCUAAACAGCAGAUUUUCAUUGUAGAUGAAAACAGCCUUCUACUGGAAGAAGAUGCCAUCUAGGACUUUCAU